AAUCAACGCUGGCGGCGUGCCUCAGACAUGCAAGUCGAACGAUUAAACUUUCCUUCGGGAGAGAUAUAAAGUGGCGCACGGGUGAGUAACACGUAAGUAAUCUACCUUCGAGUGGGGAAUAACAUCGGGAAACCGAUGCUAAUACCGCAUAAUGCAGCGGCAUCGCAAGAUGACAGUUGUUAAAGGAGCAAUCCGCUUGAAGAGGAGCUUGCGGCAGAUUAGCUAGUUGGUAAGGUAAUGGCUUACCAAGGCUUCGAUCUGUAUCCGGCCUGAGAGGGCGGUCGGACACACUGACACUGAAUAACGGGUCAGACUCCUACGGGAGGCAGCAGUCGGGAAUUUUGGGCAAUGGGCGAAAGCCUGACCCAGCAACGCCGCGUGAAGGAUGAAGUAUUUCGGUAUGUAAACUUCGAAAGAAUGGGAAGAAUCAAUGACGGUACCAUUUAUAAGCUCCGGCUAACUACGUGCCAGCAGCCGCAGUAACAC
rnacentral:rRNA from 1 species